GAUGAAAACUGACAGCUGCCGAAGGCUGCAGCAGGUUCCUGGAGGACCCCCGGACAUCAGGAUGUUUUCAGUCCAGAACAAGGAGAAGAUUUUCCAUGAUAUCCUUUUGAAUCACUUCAAGGAAAAUAAAGUGGAGAUAGCAAGUGCAAUAACAAAGCCAUUUCCUUUCCUUGAGAGCCUCAGAGAUAGGUCCUUCAUCACCAAAAACAUCUAUAAUUGAUUUAGGACAAAUAUUUUUCCCAGGAAAGUGAUAGAGAAGAGAAGCCCCAAAUGCCCAGCUGUGAACAAGUGCCUGGUGAAUCCAAAGCUCUUGGAAUAAAAAAAGAGAGAAAGUCAGAAGAAUUUCACAGCCUGUUGCUGAACGGUAGACAAGGGACACAGUUAUCCAGAUGCAAAAAUCUAGCACAAUCUCACCUGUGGGUCUGGUGGAUAUGCAGAAGACAGUUUCACCUUGUUACCCAAAAAUCAACCGGCAAGAAAGCAGAGCUCGUGACCAAACACCUGAAAUAAUCGUGAUCAGCAGUGAAUCCAGUGAUGAAGACGAGCUCCCAAGGUCUUGAGCUCAACACCCCGUCAUGGGCCAGGUGAGGAGGAUGAGGAUGGCCAGCUUUGGGCUGCAGAACCUCAGGCAUCUGAAUUCAGAGCUCCUGUUUCCUGAUGCGUUUUACCUUGUGUGCACUUCACAGCCAACAGUCCAGCUAAUCCUGGGAACCCAUUCUCUGCAUUUACCGCAUGUGGCACUUUGGGACAUAAGGUAGGCAGGGCCCUAUUCAUUGAAUAUAUGUGUUCAUAUAUUGAUGUUAGAGUAGAAACAAGCUAGCAUAUUUGUUAUUUUUUUUUCCUUUCGCAUGAGCAUGCCUAUUGUGGUACUAUAAUAAAAAUUUGUAUUCGCUCCUUUCUCUAGUUCCUGGAACAGAACUCCCAAACCUUAGAAUUUCCUGAGUGAUGAAGUGUCUUUUGAAAACCAACCAUGUGAUUAGAGGAUUAGAACUUUUAGCUCCACUUCUUGACCUCUGGGGAAAAAACAAAGGAGGGAGAUUGAGUUCAUUCACCAGUGGCCGGUCAUUUAAUCAAUCAUGCCUACAUAUUGAAACCUCAGUAAGAACCCAUAAACAGGGUUCGGGGAGCCUCUGAGUUGGUGAAUACAUGGAUGUACUGUAAGGGUGCUGUGCUGGAGAGGGCAUGGAAGGUCUGCCCCUCCCCUUGUACCUUAUCCUGUUCAUCUGUUCCAUUUGGCUGUUUCUAAGUCAUAGUCUUUAUAA